CCCAACCACCUCGCGCUGCUGAUGGCCCUGCUCACUGUUCCGUCACACUGGGACCCUGUGCAAGGGGAAAGUCCAGCUGUGUAAGAUGGCUGCUGCUGCCAUGGAGGACGAGUAUUUCUAAUGUGGCUGGUGAAAUUACCUCUUGUAAGGAUCUGUCACAGUUCAGUGCUUUUUCCCCUGAGUUAAAUGAGUAGCGACUGAACCAGGAAAAUGUACCCUGGGGGAGACAAUCUAUGAGCCCUGCUGACUGUGUAGUACAUGAAUCUCAGCACAACAUACCAAAAAAAACAAGCAAUGGUCGUGGAGAGCUCCUUUUCUAAGGCUGAAAGAAGUUGCAUGGUUUAGCUCAUCAAAGUGAAGAGUAACUGAAGAUAUUACUGCUGGCUUGAAGUACACCAGAUUCAGGGAAGGAAGAGGUUGAUACUAAAAGACAAUUUUACCACAGGGAUGACUGCAUGUAAUCAAAGAACGUAAUUCACGUUGAGUAUAAAGUGUAAGUAUGGGGUUCUGGAGGUGUCUCCCUGCAGCAAGCUCACUAAACCAUGUCCCUAAGUACCACGUCUCCAUGUUUCCUGAACACCUCCAGGGAUGGUGACUCCACCACCUCCCUGGGCAGCCUCUUCUAAUGCAUUGCCACCACACAAGGUACUUGGAGCUGCAGUUUCCUCCUGGGCAGUUUAAUUUCCUCAUGGAAAUCUACAAGUGAACCUUGUGACUUAAUUUUCAUAGCUCAACGUUUGUAGGUGUUAACGAGUCAGCUGUGAGGCAGCACUGUGCUGAGCUGUGAAUUGUUCUCUGAGUACACCUCAAAAGGUCGUCACUGAAGAUGGAGCUCUGGAACAUACCAGAUAAUAAUCAUGAUGUGUGCUAUUGUAUUUAAAAUUCCAGCUUACACUGUAGAAUCUUCAAGCAGAAUGAAGCUGUGCUGAGCUGCUGCAGUUGUGCAGACAGCAUCCUGUCAUACCAUCUAGUGGCCUGUUAGCAUACAGCAUGCUGUGGAAGUUAUCCAACUUCAGGAGAAGGCAGUUAUUAUUCAUACCAUAAAUUAUUCUUAAUUUAUGUUUGUCACUUGUGAAACCCAAUAGAAAUGCAUUUACAAUGAAUUUAUUGGAUGAAAGGAAGAUAUCAACAAUGUUGUGGAUGAUUUAAAGUGGAAAGUGUGGGAGAAAGCAGGUAGAACCUAUUCUCUGCUUCAGCCAGAUCAGUAUGGUCAGCCAGACAAACGCUGUGUAAGCAUCAGAAGCUUCUCUGCAUUAGAAUCAUUAAAGCCUAACAUUACUACAAGUGACCUGUAUAUUAUGGCAAAGCACAUCUCUGUAGUGCUAUUUAUAAUUUACUUUUUGAUGAAAUAAGGUAACCCUUCCUCUUUCUCCCACUUUCAUUUUCUGAUAACUGUCUCUGAGAACUAACCUAGUAUGCUGGUUAAAAGUGGUUUUCCACCCCUGGCUGCACUUCCAUCCACAGAAGUUUGCACUGUCACACAUUUGAUUGGGAUGAAAAAGAAACCCAUCAAUGAUUUCAUUUUGUAAUUUAUUUUCUUUUGUUGUACUUAUUUACUUAUACUAAAUAGAUGCACAAAACUGUGCUGUUACAAAGCAAGAUGUAGUUUGCAUUAGGAUGGAGCAGCUGGAGGCAGGAAAUGCCUUUCUUUUAGCUACCUCGUCUUGGAAAUUUCUCCUUAGCCAAAGUGAUUUCUGACCCCCCCAGAAACAACCUGACCUCCACAGAAGACAUCAGAUGUCCACGGCAAAAAAGGUGAUGAUGAUUCCCUUUCAGGACACUGUAUUGAGAACACAAAGAGCAGGAGAAUUGGGCAGAGUAGGACAGGAUUCCUCAGGAGCUUCCAAAUGCACUGUGUUUUUCCGAGCAGGACUGGAGUUCAGCUCAGAUCUACACAGCAGUUUCAAGUUUCCAAGGACUUGUAGCACACUGAGGCUGAGAAGCAAAGCAGCUUUAGAACUUUCCCAUUUAUUUGGUGGAUGAAUAAAUGUAGCAUCUACUCUGCAUCCUGAACACACGCUGCUGUGCUGCUGUGCACCUAGUGCUGCUACCCCAAUAUUUUGCCCAGCCAACCAAAUCUCAAUAGAAGUUUUUGCAUAAUUAAUUAUACAAGCAGAAUGCAUUGCUUUGCUCUAUUUUUUUAAGGUUCCAGAUUUUCCAACUGUUGACAAAGGAUGUGUUAAUGUCAUCAUUAUGAAGUUCUGUUGUUUACUGUUUUCUUCAGCAAGCAGUAAUUUUAUUGACUUUGGCAGAGACAUUGGUGUUUUGCAUGAUUUCAAUGGAUUUUGUGGCACAGACGCACAAUGUAACCCAAGAUGUUCCAUAAUAAACAGGACUGUUACUACCAGAUGGAAAUAGUCCUGAAGCAUUACUGGACUUGAGAAAACAAAAAUGUUUUAGGACAAACAUUUUAGGUCUUAGCUUAAUUGUCUUCAAUCAAUAUCUACUUGUAAAAUAUUUUUGACAGAAAAACAAAGCCAAAGAAAGGAUCUAAACAGUAUUUAUUUCAGAUUUUACUCUUUUAUUAUCUGUGCACAAAUUUAGUUUAUGCUGCUCUUUAAAAGACAUGCUGACACACAAGUUAGUGAGAUAACUACACAAAAUAGUAUGAAUUGGGGAUGAGAUAUUUCUGAUCAGAAAGCAAAGACUCAGAAGAUAUUCUGAGCAGUGAACUUAAAUAUACAUGAACUAAAAGACAGUAGAUAAUGGCUGGCCUUAUUUGUAGAGCUGCUCAAAUUAUUAAGUGUGAAUUUCGAAUUAAUUCUAAAUGUAUCCUGGUAACAAUAGCUUAUGCAAUCAGUGGAUAAUGAGCCCUGACACAUGGCAGGUUUAUAACUCAAAUCUGGGUCGUGGACACGAAGCCACAAAACAAAAAUUAAUCUAUUCAACAGUACAAAUAUUUCUCAUUCUAAAUUGUGAGAAAGGAAGUCUUAUGUGCUUGGGUGGAACGGCUGUACACAAAUACAGAUGGUUCAGCAGGUAUUAUUUGCUUGCCAAGUGGGA